rnacentral:rRNA from 1 species
ACAGUUUACACGGAUAACUGUGGUAAUUCUAGAGCUAAUACGUGCAACCAGCUCGCUUCCUUGUGGAGUGAGCGCAGUUAUUAGAACAAGACCAAUCCGGCCUUCGGGUCGGUACAAUUGGUGACUCUGAAUAACCGAAGCGGAGCGCAUGGUCUCGUACCGGCGCCAGAUCUUUCAAGUGUCUGACUUAUCAGCUUGUUGUUAGGUUAUGUUCCUAACAAGGCUUUUACGGGUAACGGGGUAUCAGGGUCCGAUACCGGAGAGGGAGCCUGAGAAACGGCUACCACAUCUAAGGAAGGCAGCAGGCGCGCAAAUUACCCACUCCCGGCACGGGGAGGUAGUGACGAAAAAUAACGAUGCGAGAGCUAUAAAGUUUCUCGUAAUCGGAAUGGGUACACUUUAAAUCCUUUAGCGAGGAUCUAUUGGAGGGCAAGUCUGGUGCCAGCAGCCGCGGUAAUUCCAGCUCCAAUAGCGUAUAUUAAAGUUGCUGCGGUUAAAAAGCUCGUAGUUGGAUCUGGGUAGCUGGACGGAUGGUAUGCUUAACUGUGUUACUAUCUGUUCGGCACCACAAGCCGGUCAUGUCUUGCAUGCUCUUCACUGGGUGUGCUUGGCGCCCGGAACGUUUACUUUGAAAAAAUUAGAGUGCUCAAAGCAGGCGUACGGCCUUGCAUAAUGGUGCAUGGAAUAAUGGAAUAGGACCUCGGUUCUAUUUUGUUGGUUUUCGGAACUCGAGGUAAUGAUUAAUAGGAACAGACGGGGGCAUUCGUAUUGCGGCGUUAGAGGUGAAAUUCUUGGAUCGUCGCAAGACGAACUACUGCGAAAGCAUUUGCCAAGAAUGUUUUCAUUAAUCAAGAACGAAAGUUAGAGGUUCGAAGGCGAUCAGAUACCGCCCUAGUUCUAACCAUAAACGAUGCCAACCAGCGAUCCGUCGGUGUUUUUUUGAUGACUCGACGGGCAGCUUCCGGGAAACCAAAGUGCUUAGGUUCCGGGGGAAGUAUGGUUGCAAAGCUGA